UACGUAGGGGGCUAGCGUUGUCCGGAAUCAUUGGGCGUAAAGAGCGUGUAGGCGGCCCGGUAAGUCCGCUGUGAAAGUCGGGGGCUCAACCCUCGGAUGCCGGUGGAUACUGUCGGGCUCGAGUACGGAAGAGGCGAGUGGAAUUCCUGGUGUAGCGGUGAAAUGCGCAGAUAUCAGGAGGAACACCUAUUGCGAAGGCAGCUCGCUGGGACGUUACUGACGCUGAGGCACGAAAGCGUGGGGAGCAAACAGG
rnacentral:rRNA from 1 species